AUGCUUAAGUGCAUUUUUGUUCUUUGUCUUUGUUUUAGUAAGGGAGCCGCUUCUUUGUCUCGUUAUUAUGCUCUCAAGCUACCCCAGCUUGCCCCUGUGCCACCUUCAUUCCCCACCAUAACCACUCAGAGCCCACCCUCCCACAGCAGCCUGUUGGCCAGCCUCAGCACCCCAGCUGGGAUUACAGCGUACCAGUCUUACCCAUGGGGCAACAUGUGCAGUCAGCCAGCCAUGCACCAGCGUACUCAGUGCCCUCCUGCUUACCCUGGCAGCUUGGGACCUGGUCGAGAGCACCAGCCUACCUCUUCCACCAUCUUCCCUCUUCCUUCGUUCUUCCCUGGGGAGGACCAGGAGUCGUUGCAUGCAAAUUCCCAGGAUCCUUCACUCAACCAGACUUUCACAAGCAGCACCACCAGCACUACCACCGUCCUGCCACCUGUGUCAACGCUCCUGCCCUCUUGCCUCAGGGUGGAGGAUACUCCAGCCAGGAGUCAUUGCUAAUGCCCUCGCAGGUAACGCAGCCUCUCCAUAAAGCCCUGCAGUGCCCUCUUGUGUCAAAAUUGAUUAUGACAGUCCUAGAGAGAUCCACAGCCACUUCCACUGCGACUUUUCUCCCAUACAUUUUUGAAUUUAAGUGUGUGUGAGCAUGUGUGCAUGUGUUUCAACUGUCUAUGUAAAUAUAAUGUGUGUGAAUUUCUAAAUUUCCUGUUUUUAUUACUAUUAGGAUGUUCUCAGCCGAAAUGUGAAAGCCACCAGGCUGGAGUUUGCUGGCUACAAUAAAUGCUCAUUGCGCGGUUAAUCAUUUAUUUAUUUGCAUUUAACUUCCUUUUAUAAUAUAAAACAACAAUUGAAGAAUAUUUUAGUUUUUGUCUUUUGAUGUCCCUUUUAAAGACAGUUUGUUUUUGCUCAAAUUGUAGCUUAUUUCAGGUACCUCAGAAAAGAUAUCUUGGUACCAGUUUAGAAAUCAGAACGAGAUGUGAAGAAACACUACACUGAAAAAUAACAUCACUGACUCUGUAUUUUUUUUUUUUUUUUUUUUAAAUUGGCUAAAGAAUUAAUCAGGGACAUUCAAGUCUGGGCUUUAGUCACAUGUUCCAGGGGAAGUCAGGUGACCGAAAGGAGAUCACAGGUACGCGAUUUGGGGAUGCUCAGACGCCACUAUUUAUACUAGCGCCCCCUAAUGUGCCAGACUGAAAGUAGGUUGAACCAAGACAUAAUAUUCAGCCUGCCACAUACAGAUGAAUUAGUUAUAUAUCAACUCACAUACAAUUACACCAUGUAAGGUAAAAUCAUAAAGAAAACAACUCAUUUUCUCUGUAUAAUUACUUAGUACUCAGAACUUCUAGGCUUAGUGUUGACUAAUGAAAGAAAGUUGAUAUAAUCAAUUAACAAGGUAAAGGAAUCUGAUGCAAGUAAUUAAUUGUCAGAUUAUUAUGAAGUGGAGACUCUUAAGUGUUGUUGGUGUGCAUGUGGCUUAAUUCACACCUAAUUAAAACACAAAAGUUAAAAUCUUGAGGAACAUACAUGUCUUUUGGUAGAUUUAACUGAAUAACCAUACAAAGAUCCCCCUUGCUUUAUAUUGAGAAGACACCGAUUGUGAGCAUCUUUGGUAUAUGGAAUGGUCACAUGCCCUAAAUAUGUCUUUACUGUUUCCCUUUUGUGUUACAGACAGAAGAAAUGGAUGUCACAGUUCCUACAGAUGACCAGGACAUCCAACUCCCUCAUCUGGACAGAAGUAAAAGUGUUUCUGCUUUUAUCAUUUCAAUUUUGGCUUAGAACAAUAAAAAAGAAAAAAGACAAAAAAAAGCUUAAAGGCUGAGUCACAAAAAAUGUUCAAGACACCCUUGAAGUAAAAACAAAGUUCUUUAUCUUUUAGCUAAAUAAGGCUUUGCUUUUAAGAAAAUUAAAGCAUUUGUUAAUGUCUGUGUUCUAAAUGUCAAAUAAAAAAGGUAUUUCAGAUCUGUGGACUUGUGUUUCUGAAGAUUAAAUAGCAAUGCAUUAAAAAAAACGGAUUUUAUUUUUUUAAUUUUAGUCUUUUUAUUCAUAAUUUUUGGUAUCUGGAGCAGGUAACUAGUACUUUAAGAAAUAUGGCCUUCUGUGCAAGCAUUGGGUCAAAAAUAAAUCUUCGUAUUAAGAUAUAAUACAAUACAAUUUUAUUUAUAUAGCACAUUUAAAAAACCACAGGUAUGCCAAAGUGCUUCACAGAACGAGUUAAGAGGAAUAAUAAAUACGAAUACAAAACACAAAAUACAAAAUACAAAUAAAAUAUGCUAACAGGCGGGUGACAUAACUAACCAAUAAUAUAGUAGGCACAACCCGAAAGGCUGAAGGUUCAAACAUUCUAAACAUUAAUAAAGCGAAAAAGAUAAGUUACAGUACACUAAAAAUGUGGGCUCUAAGAGGCGGGGAAAGCAAGGCUAAACAAAUAAGUUUUUAAUCGAGAUUUAAAAGAUUGAAUUGAAUCAGAAGCCCGAAUAGCUAGAGGGAGGUUAUUCCUGAGGUAGGGUGCAACAGCUGCGAAUGCGCAGUCACCUCUGGUCUUGAGCCAAGAUCUAGGUCGCACCAGGAGCAUUUGGCCUCCUGAUCUGGCCUAAAGGUCAGAGGAAAAUAUGUAAACUUGGAUUUGGGAUUAAGUUUCCCUUCAACCUGAAUUAUCAUUCCUUUGUGAGGCCCUGAUGAAUGAUUACAAUCAGAAUACUUUAUUAAUCCCAAAGGAAAUGAUCUCAAACCGGACCAGCUUAAAUUCUUUGAUAUCUGGAUGAUCAAGCCGCGAUGCAGUCUCCCCACCUCCAUCAUGGCUGAAAAGUUUCGUUACAUUUGCUUAGAACCCUCUGUUAACAUUAGUUAUUUUUAAAAGUAAAAAUAACUAAGCCACUGGAAGAGAGGAGGACAAAGCUUGUCCACCAAAACUCCUUCAGUUGUUGGGUCGGUUAUGUAAAGUAGCUGCAAAUUUGACCUCAAUAAAAUUUGUGGCUUUCAUGGCAUUACAAACAUUGGUUUUUAACGGAUUUUCCUACAUAUGAGGAAGUGUUUACAGAAGAAUGAAAUCUUUGUUCAGCUCAGCGAACCUUCACACUGCAGGUUGAGAAAGUAAAAUUACAUAGAAACCAAACUACAGUAUCCCUGUCUAAUCUUGCUUUCUAAUUGCUUGGUUUUUAUC
ensembl:lncRNA